GUUUCUGUAAAACCUAAAAUGUUGCUACCAUAUUUUUAUGGUAAAGUUCUGGCAACCACUGCUGCUUAAUUUCAGUUUUAUAGUGCUGCCUUAAUAACAAUAGCUGUAAUGGGAUUGUGGUUCAGUCAGUUUUGUAAUGGGUAGUGAGUUAUAUAAUAAAGUUGUUUCUCAGUUUAGAUUCUAACUAAGCUUUACAGUUUUAACAGCUGAAGAAACGACCGUGGAAAUAGGCAGGAAAAGGUGUGUGAUUUGUCACCCUCAGCACAUUUCUCUCAGUUUCUUGGGCCUGUGAAGUCUUCAGACAGCAUGUAUGACCUCCUUUUUCUUGUCUUGUUCUGUUUAAUUUCGCCAAAAGCGAUGACAGAAACAGUCUAUCAGUUUCCCCCGUCAGUGAAGGUGAGAUCGGGUGAAAGAGUGACCAUGCACUGCCAGCUGAAUGAGGUGCAGUCAUUCUGUCACACAGUGGCCUGGGUCAGAGUACAUCCCGUGAGUGGAAUGAUAGACAUUCUGCAGGACUCAAACAUCCCUCGUCAGACUAAAGAGCAGGUGGAAACCACAGUGUGUCAGGCUUCCAUCUACAACGCAACAGUGCAGGACUCGGGGACGUAUUACUGCAUCACUACAGACCGUGAGCAUAUGUACCUUGGGAAUGGCACAGCUGUCACUGUACAAGCUGGCAGCGCUGUGAUGCCGUCUAUUGAUAUCAUGGCAUUUGCCAGCAGCAACAAACGCGACUCUACAGUCACUCUUCAGUGUACAGUCGGAGAAUUUGUUUCAUCGCGGGUCUAUGUGCACUGGCUCAUAGGGAGUAGAAAGGAAAAUGGACAAACUUUGUUUGUUUGGGAAGAAGGCGAAGAGAACUCUGUGAAAAUUCAUAAUUAUGUAGCUGUAUCAGCUGAGGAGUGGAGGACAGAAGGAGCUUACACCUGCGUUGUGAGUUUUGGUGGAUGGAUGUUCAACAAAACUCUGCAUUAUUAUGCUAUCCAGGACACUUGCUAUCCUCUUGUCAGUGUAACCAGAAUUUUUGCGCUUGUCACUGCUCUACUUUUUUUAACAACCUCAUUAAUUUUAGCAAGACGCAUCUAAAACAACAGAAAUUAUGUAUUUGAUCCUAUGACCCGAAAACAUCAAACAUAUUCUUUACAAAUAAAUGUAAAUGUGCAUAAAAUCA
ensembl:lncRNA